GAACUGUGGUUUCUCUUCAAAUCGUAUAAAUAUUUCGCCUUUCACUAAAGAUUUCCGUGGAGAGGAACAAUUCUGAGUCUUAAUCCAAUUUUUUGAGGCCCUGCCUCUGCGGGACU
ensembl:snRNA U5 U5 spliceosomal RNA